GCCGAGGUAGAUCAGCCUGGGAGAUCGCGCGGCUGAAGCACGGGAUUUGUCGUGUGUUCAAAUCACGCCCUCGGCACCA
rnacentral:tRNA from 1 species